CUCAUGGUUUCACGGUAUUGCAAUGAGAACAAUUUAAAACCCUUAGCGAGAAUCAAGUGGAGGACAAGUCUGGUGCCAGCACCCGCGGUAAUUCCAGCUCCACUAGCGUAUAUUAAAGUUGUUGUAGUUAAAAAGCUCGUAGUUGAACCUCUGUCUGGGGCUGGUUUUGGCUUUGGUCAGGCUAGUUCUAGGCAUCCGCCUACAAGACUUAGAGGGCAUUCAGUUGUUCACUAGGAGGAGUAGGCAUUUUACUUUGAAAAAAUUAGAGUGUUUAAGGCAGGCAAUCGCCCGCAUAUAUUAGCAUGGAAUAAUAGAAUAGGACACUUUUCCAUUUCGUUGGUUAUUGGAAUCGUGUAAUGAUUAAUAGGGACAGUUGUGGGCAUUUGUAUUUAAUUGUCAGAGGUGAAAUUCUUGGAUUUAUUAAAGACAAACUAACGCGAAAGCAUUUGCCAAGGAUGUUUUCAUUAAUCAAGAACGAAAGUUAGGGGAUCAAAGACGAUCAGAUACCGUCCUAGUCUUAACUAUAAACUAUUCCGACUCAAUGUUUGACUGGCUUAUAUAACCAGUUGAGCGUUGUAUGAGAAAUCAAAGUCUUUAGGUUCUGGGGGGAGUAUGGUUGCAAAGCUGAAACUUAAAGGAAUUGACGGAAGAGCACAACCAGGAGUAGAUUCUGCGGCUUAAUUUGACUCAACACGGGGAAACUUACCAGGUUAAAACAAUAGUGGGAUUGACAGUUUGAGAGCGCUUUCUUGAUUGGUUGGGUGGUGGUGCAUGGCCGUUCUUAGUUGGUGGAGUGAUUUGUCUGCUUAAUUGCGUUAACGAACGAGACCUUAACCUGCUUACUAGACUGGCGAUCAUCAAUCGUUAGCUCUUCUUAGAGGGACUUUGGUUGUUUUAACUCCAAGGAAGUUUGAGGCAAUAACAGGUCUGUGAUGCCCUUAGAUAUCCUGAGCCGCACGCGUCAUACUAUGACUAGUUCAGAAAGUUUUCUCCUGACCCGAAAGGGGAUGGGUAAUCUUGAUAAUACUAGUCGUGUUAGGGAUCGAUCUUUGCAAUUAUAGAUCUUGAACGAGGAAUUCCUAGUAAGUGCGGUUCAUCAGACCGUACUGAUUACGUCCCUGCUCUUUGUACACACCGCCCGUCGCUUCUACCGAGUGGGUGGUCCGGUGAGAUAAUUGAACUUCGCAGGUAACUGAGAGGAAAGAUUAUCAAACCUAUCCACCU
rnacentral:rRNA from 1 species